AUGUUGCGCGCCGAGCCCGUCAUCCCUUCCCAUGUUGUACUCGGCCGCAUCUUCCUGGCUCGAUUGGUUCGAUCUGCUGCCAUCCACUACCCGUCAGGUUAUUCCGGCGGUGCGGCGGCGGCGAAGCUUGGCGCGACGAUGGAGCCUGCCUGUCUGGCGAUGGGGUGGGAGUCGGAUAGGCGCGCGGCGGUGAUUGUGCAGUCACGGAGACAGCUCUGCAGUCCCGAUGGUGUCGCUGCUGCGGUGGUUCCAUUCCGGCGGCAUCGUCGGCCCGUUCAAAACAGGGCUCGUGCAUGGGGUGGCCCGCCCAUCAAGACAGAGGCAUGGCCGGACAUCGUUAUCGCUCAAAUAUCAGUGCGUUUCUCGCAAUGGAUUACUGGGAAGAUGAAGCAAUGGCCCUCUUCCCUCUCCGUCAAUACAGUUUUACAGGCUAAUCAGCUGGCACCUUAG
rnacentral:rRNA from 1 species